rnacentral:antisense_RNA from 1 species
CUUCAGCGAGCCGAGCCAGAGUGGCCGGUCGGCGGGCCGGUCCCUGCCGUACGUCGCGAGGAGCGCCUGCGCCUC